rnacentral:rRNA from 1 species
UACGUAGGGUGCAGGCGUUAAUCGGAAUUACUGGGCGUAAAGCGUGCGCAGGCGGUUUGCUAAGUCAGGUGUGAAAUCCCCGGGCUUAACCUGGGAACUGCGCUUGUUACUGGCAAGCUUGAGUGUGGCAGAGGGGGGUGGAAUUCCACGUGUAGCAGUGAAAUGCGUAGAGAUGUGGAGGAACACCGAUGGCGAAGGCAGCCCCCUGGGCUAACACUGACGCUCAUGCACGAAAGCGUGGGGAGCAAACAGG